UCCUAACAGCCGGUAGGCUGUUAGGAAUUGUGGGAGUUGGAGUCCAAAACACCCGGAGGGCUGAAGUUUGCCCAUGCCUGCUCUAUCAGCUCCAGUUCCAUGCAGGGACAUGAGAGAAGCCUCCGACCAAAACCCCUGGUGUCCCCUGGGCAACAUCCUUGCAGACAGCCAAUCCUCUCACACCAGAAGCAACUUGCAGUUUCUUAAAAAAAAAAAAAAAGUAGGCCUACUCCAAGGAGCCCCGGUGGCGAAGUGUGUUAAAGCACUGAGCUGGAGACCGAAAGGUCCCAGGUUCAAAACCCGGGAGCGGCGUGAGCGGCCGCUGUUAGCUCCAGCUCCUGCCAACCUAGCAGUUCGAAAACAUGCCAAUGUGAUUAGAUCAAUAGGUACCGCUCCGGCGGGAAGGUAACGGCGCUCCAUGAAGUCAUGCCAGCCACAUGACCUUGGAGGUGUCUACGGACAACGCUGGCUCUUCGGAGAUGAGCACCGACCCCCAGAGUCAGACAUGACUGGACUUAACAUCAGGGGAAACCUUUACCUUUACGUUAGGCCUACUCCAGUGAGGUACAAACUGACAGGAUUCAGAAGGAUGCUUUCCUGGCCACGGAGGCUUUCUUCAUUUCCCAGAAGCAUCCCAUCUUAGAGUUGGAAGGGACCUCAAGGACCAUCCAAUCCAACCCGCCUUCUGCCCUGCAGGAACACACAAUCAAAGCAUCCCCGGCAAAUGGACAUCCAGCCUCUGCUUAGAAACUUACAGCGAAGGAGACCACCACAUUCAGAGGAGGCAGAAUACUGCACUGCCAAACAGCUCUUACCAUCAAGAGGUUCUUCCAAAUGUUUAGGUAGAAUCCCAACCCUCUUAUGCGCUUACGAAACAUGGACUGUCUAAUGACACUCAACUCCUGGAACAAUUGCUUCAGCAUUGCCUCCGAAAAAUCCUGCAAAUCUCUUGGGAAGACAGAUGGACAAAUGUCAGCAUGCUGGAAGAAGCAAAGACCACCACAAUUGAAGCGAUGCUCCUCCACCAUCAACUCCACUGGAUUUGCCACAUUUUCCAAAUGCCCAAUCACUGUCUCCCAAAGCAGUUAUUCUGCUCUCAACUCAAGAAUGGAAAAGGGAAUAUUGGUGGACAGGAAAAGAGAUUUAAAGACGGACCGAAAGCUAACCUUAAAAACCGUGGCAUAGACACCGAGAACUGGGAAGCCCUGGCCCUUGAGCUCUCUUAACUGGAGGUCAGUUGUGACCAGCAGUGCUGUGGAAUUUGAAGAGGCACAAAUGGAAGGGGAAAGGGGAAAACACGGCAAGAGGAAGGUGCAUCAAGCCAACCCUGACCGGGCCCCUCCUUCCCCCUGGAAACUGAUGUCCUCACUGUGGAAGAACAUGCAGGUCAAGAGUAGGACUCCACAAUCACCUACGUACCCACCACCAAGACACUACACUUGGAAGGCCAUCAUAAAUGGCUGAAAAGACAGGAGAAUUUUGGGAGAAGAGCUGUAACAGAAUCUCCCAAAGACUGCUCCCCUACAUGAAAUCCCAAGAUAUCUUUGAAGGAUAAUUUUCAUCCGUUAGUGUGUGUGCAAGACAGAAAAAAAGAGUUUGACUCUGGUGAUACUGUCUUUGAGAAACUGUUAUAGACAGAGGCAGAACUGUUGCAUAACUUCUCCAGCAGAGUACAGCAUGAAUCCCAAUUUCAGUAUAAUGCUUAAGUACCAAGAAGCUCAAGAAAGGACUUGUUUAGUCCCACAGGAUCUUCUAAUGCCAUCUGGAACGAAAAAAGGAGAGAACCAGGCCAUAUAAGAACUUUCUCUCAGAGGACCUGGAAAAUUAACUUUAUAGGGAUGGAGAAUAGCUCAACAGCAGCAUGUAUACCAAGCACACAGAAGGAUAUGGGCUCAGUCCUUCCUGUCUUCAGAGAGAAAUAGAAUUCAGGGAGCAGCUAUGGGAAAUAUCUCUUAAUGCCCAAAAUCUUGGGCAACCAUGACGAGUGAAAGUUUAAAAUAAUUGGGUUUGAAGGACAAAUACAGCCUGAACCCGGUAGAAAGCAGUUUCCUAUUUUCCUCCCAACAUACAUGCAACUAUCAAACAUUUUGCAGCUGUUCAGAGCACUUUUCCCUCUAUCUCUAAAGCCAGAUAAUUAUUUCAGCUGUAUGCAGGUGCUGCGAUCUUGCCUUUUAUUGAGCUCUGGAGUUUUGCCCAAGCCAUUCUAGCACGCAUUCAGGUCUGAUUGGCCAUGUUGCCCAUGCCACCACCAACAGCAAUUUCUCUCUUCAGUGAUGACUUCUGUUUAAAUUAUUAUUUUAUAAAAACACACAUACAGACGCACAAUUUUAAAAAACCCAAACCAACGUUCACUUGGUUCUCUUAAAUCUUUGGAAGUCCCGGAUUCUAAUGAUUUUAAAACAAGAAUAACAGUCCACCAUUCCAUCCUAAAAACCAUGCUCCCCUUAUCCGCCCUUUUAUAGCAGCAGCCGGAUCCACAGGCACACAACGAAGAAAAAUCCAAUGGUGUCCCUUAUUGCUUUGUAACAGUUCAGAAUGAAGGCAGCCUUGAAGUGCAGCAGAAGGAAGUCUGAGCCACUCAUUCAGUGGUGAGCGAAAGAAGCACCAUGACAAGAAUGCCGGUACACAGGAGGAGGACUUGUUGCACUGAGUUCCUAGGCAAAGCAGGGACAGAUUAAAAAAAAAGGUUGGAUUCAAGAAAGGCACAACAUGUUUGCAUUGCCUUUUUUACCCCAGUCAAAGAAGCAAUUUCUACAAUCUUCUCCAAGCCCAUGGGAAAGUCAAGAUCACACGAGAAGAACCCUUCCUUCAGAUUUCUCCCUAUCGGGUAGUUGGGAAACCCCUUUCCCACUCAACCUAAAUCUACUACCCCACACUAGAGAUGCAUACCUGACUGGCUGGAUAGCCCAUGGAUAUCCACCCCAUCCAUCACACUGUCAGCAAAAACUGUCGGGUCCAUCCACUUUAUUCCAACUAUGGCUUGAACCCAGAUUCAGUAGUUCUGGCUGGAAAACUUUGUUGCUAUGUUUUGGAAACAAAUUUGGAAACAAAUUUUGCAUCCUUGCUAAUUGGGAUAUAAAGAUAAAGGUUUCCCCUGACGUUAAGUCCAGUCAUGUCUGACUCUGGGGGUUGGUGCUCAUCUCCAUUUCUCCAUCUGGCUCUUCAAAUGCACUCUGGUCUAAUUGGGAUAUAGUACAGCCCUAAUACAGUACAGCCUUUGUAUCUGUGGAGCCAGUAUACUCAGUUUAAUUUAUACAUAUCUAAUGAAAUAUAUUAUCUAUGAUAUUCUUGAACUGGAAGUCUUUUAUUUCAAUAUGGUUCACUAUUACCCACAGUCUUACAUAUGCACGCAAAGUCUGGGAACAUAUUCCCCAUGUAUACAUGGGCUGUACUGUAUAAAGUUGUUUACUGUAGGUUGUAUGUGGCAAAUAGAUUAUUACAGUAUGAUAAAACAGCAAAGGGGAGAGAAAUAUAAAUAUCUCUCUGGUCUAUCUUAUGUCCGCUGCAGCUUUCUGAAAUAUAAUACAACUUUAUCCAUUCUUUGUACUUUCAUGAAUUAAUUGCUUUUAAGGCUGAAAAGCAUGCAUCUGAUGAAAUAGGUUCUGACCUACUUCAUCACUUACCAAGCUGCACUUACCAAGGAUUCUUUUCCUCUAAGAGAUCAGGCACAACAUUUACCAAGGCAAUGUAUAAGAAUCCCCCAGAGGUAAAUGGGAGAAUCCAAGCGAUGGUUUCCCCUGGAGGAACAGUGAGAAAAGCA